rnacentral:misc_RNA from 1 species
CGUAACGGAUUCUAACUGCUUGAGAACAUUGCGGCCUGCACUUUCUCCGCAGGCAACUUGCAGGAAAAUAAAUUGGCACAGAAAAGUAUCAGUAGCUCAUUAACAUUGUUCCUCUGGCGCACGAAGUUGCAAACUUUGAGCUACACUUCUUGUCUAGUGUUCUAUAUUCUUUUAGAACUAUUCACCUACCGACUGCAAAAUGCAUUAAAAGGGCUCAAGGACUACUAGUGUUAAAUUAAAGCAUUCUAAGCAAAGUUCC